CCUACGGGUGGCAGCAGUGAGGAAUAUUGGUCAAUGGGCGUAAGCCUGAACCAGCCAAGUCGCGUGAGGGAUGAAGGUUCUAUGGAUCGUAAACCUCUUUUAUAAGGGAAUAAAGUGCGGGACGUGUCCCGUUUUGUAUGUACCUUAUGAAUAAGGAUCGGCUAACUCCGUGCCAGCAGCCGCGGUAAUACGGAGGAUCCGAGCGUUAUCCGGAUUUAUUGGGUUUAAAGGGUGCGUAGGCGGGCUUUUAAGUCAGCGGUAAAAAUUCGGGGCUCAACCCCGUCCGGCCGUUGAAACUGGGGGCCUUGAGUGGGCGAGAAGAAGGCGGAAUGCGUGGUGUAGCGGUGAAAUGCAUAGAUAUCACGCAGAACCCCGAUUGCGAAGGCAGCCUUCCGGCGCCCUACUGACGCUGAGGCACGAAAGUGCGGGGAUCGAACAGGAUUAGAUACCCGAGUAGUC
rnacentral:rRNA from 1 species